rnacentral:rRNA from 1 species
UACGGGGGGAGCAAGCGUUGUUCGGAUUUACUGGGCGUAAAGCGUGCGCAGGCGGUUCGCAAAGUCUGAUGUGAAAGCCCCGGGCUCAACCUGGGAACUGCAUUUGUGACUGCAUGGCUGGAGUGCGGCAGAGGGGGAUGGAAUUCCGCGUGUAGCAGUGAAAUGCGUAGAUAUGCGGAGGAACACCGAUGGCGAAGGCAAUCCCCUGGGCCUGCACUGACGCUCAUGCACGAAAGCGUGGGGAGCAAACAGG